ACGAACGUUGGCGGCGUGGAUUAGGCAUGCAAGUCGAGGGAAUUCCCGCAAGGGAGGAACCGGCGUAAGGGGCAGUAAUGUAUAGGUACCUACCCUGGAGUUCGGCAUAGCCAUCAGAGAUGGUGGGUAAUACCGGAUGAUGUCGUGAGACCAAAGAUUUAUCGCUUUGGGAGGGGCCUAUAUGAUAUUAGCUUGUUGGCGGGGUAACGGCCCACCAAGGCUAAGAUGUCUAGCGGGUGUGAGAGCACGACCCGCGCCACUCGCACUGAGACACUGGCGAGACACCUACGGGUGGCUGCAGUCGAGGAUCUUCGGCAAUGAGCGCAAGCUUGACCGAGCGACGCCGCGUGCGCGAUGAAGGCCUCCGGGUUGUAAAGCGCUUUAGGGGGGGAGAAAAGCCGAAAGGUGUGAUCUAUCCCCAAAAUAAGCACGGGCUAAGUUCGUGCCAGCAGCCGCGGUAAGACGAACCGUGCGAACGUUGUUCGGAAUCACUGGGCUUAAAGGGCGCGUAGGCGGGCUGUCAAGUCUGGGGUGAAAUGCCGCGGCUCAACCGUGGAACUGCCUUAGAUACUGACGGCCUCGAGGAAGGUAGGGGCAUGCGGAACUGUAGGUGGAGCGGUGAAAUGCGUUGAUAUCUACAGGAACUCCGGUGGCGAAAGCGGCGUGCUGGACCUUUUCUGACGCUGAGGCGCGAAAGCGUGGGGAGCAAACGGGAUUAGAUACCCCGGUAGUCCACGCUGUAAACGAUGACGACCAGGUGUGGGGUGGUUCAGUCCAUUCCGUGCCGCAGCUAACGCAUUAAGUCGUCCGCCUGGGGAGUACGGCCGCAAGGUUGAAACUCAAAGGAAUUGACGGGGGCCCGCACAAGCGGUGGAGCAUGUGGUUCAAUUCGAUGCAGAGCGAAGAACCUUACCUGGGCUUGACAUGUAGGAAGUAGGAACCCGAAAGGGGGACGACUCGUUAAGUCGAGAGCCUACACAGGUGGUGCAUGGCUGUCGUCAGCUCGUGCCGUGAGGUGUUGGGUUAAGUCCCGCAACGAGCGCAACCCUCACCCUAUGUUGCCAACGGUUCGGCCGGGCACUCUUAGGGAACUGCCGGCGAAGAGCUGGAGGAAGGGGGGGAUGACGUCAAGUCCGUAUGCCCUUUAUGCCCAGGGCUACACACAUGCUACAAUGUGCGGUACAGAGGGUUGCCAACUCGCAAGAGGGAGCCAAUCCCACAAAGCCGCGCUCAGUUCGGAUUGCAGGCUGCAACUCGCCUGCAUGAAGUCGGAAUCGCUAGUAAGCGCAGAUCAGCAGGCUGCGCUGAAUACGUUCCCGGGCCUGUAC
rnacentral:rRNA from 1 species